UCUCAUCUUUCUUGAAUGUGUGUGCUCUUUUGAUCUUUUAUUUCCUGCCAUGGGAUGAUACAGCAAGAAGGCUCACCAGAUUCUCGUACUUUGGUAUUAAACUAGGCGUCCAGGAUAUUAAGAAUUCAAGGAGAUUGGAACCACCUGGACCAUCUGGAUAUCCCACAGAAGACCACACUGACCCAUUAUUACACUGAUGAUAUCAUGCUGAUUGGGCAAGAGAAGCAAGAGGAAGGAAGGCCCACAGAAGUUGCUGUGUGAACAUGUGUGGAGAUGUGAAUCCAUAUAGCUCAAAGGGUGGACUGUGACACCUAUGAGAGCUACAAAUGAAGACUUAGGAGUGUUCAUCAAAUAAGGAGUUGCAAGAAGAACACAGAAACCAGAUUUAUUGUAUACAUGAAAAAAUAAAAAGUACUACUCAA
rnacentral:lncRNA from 1 species